CAAACGACUCUCGGCAACGGAUAUCUCGGCUCACGCAUCGAUGAAGAACGUAGCAAAAUGCGAUACUUGGUGUGAAUUGCAGAAUCCCGUGAACCAUCGAGUUUUUGAACGCAAGUUGCGCCCGAAGCCUUUUGGCCAAGGGCACGUCUGCCUGGGCGUCACGC
rnacentral:rRNA from 1 species